UCUCUCUCUUAACAAUAUGAAUCGCUACAUUGUUUACAUUCCAAUGUAAACAAUGUAGCGAUUCAUAUUGUUAAGAGAGAGAGAGAGAGAGACUGAAGUUUUACGUGGUUCAGUUCGGUUAACCUAUGUACACUUAGGGGUCUUAUAUU